GGAGGAUCCAAGCGUUAUCCGGAUUUAUUGGGUUUAAAGGGUGCGUAGGCGGGCUAUUAAGUCAGUGGUGAAAGCCCCAAGCUUAACUUGGGAACUGCCAUUGAUACUGAUGGUCUUGAGUACACUUGAGGUGGGCGGAAUGUGUCAUGUAGCGGUGAAAUGCUUAGAUAUGACACAGAACACCGAUUGCGUAGGCAGCUCACUAAAUUGUAACUGACGCUGAGGCACGAAAGCGUGGGGAUCAAACAGGAUUAGAUACCCUGGUAGUCCACGCCCUAAACGAUGAUUACUCGAUGUGUGCAAUACACCGUACGCGUCUGAGCGAAAGCAUUAAGUAAUCCACCUGGGGAGUACGACCGCAAGGUUG
rnacentral:rRNA from 1 species